AUUGAACGCUGGCGGCAUGCUUUACACAUGCAAGUCGAACGGCAGCGCGGGCUUCGGCCUGGCGGCGAGUGGCGAACGGGUGAGUAAUGCAUCGGAACGUGCCCAGUAGUGGGGGAUAGCCCGGCGAAAGCCGGAUUAAUACCGCAUACGACCUGAGGGUGAAAGCGGGGGACCGAAAGGCCUCGCGCUAUUGGAGCGGCCGAUGUCGGAUUAGCUAGUUGGUGGGGUAAAGGCUUACCAAGGCGACGAUCCGUAGCUGGUCUGAGAGGACGACCAGCCACACUGGGACUGAGACACGGCCCAGACUCCUACGGGAGGCAGCAGUGGGGAAUUUUGGACAAUGGGGGCAACCCUGAUCCAGCCAUGCCGCGUGCGGAAAGAAGGCCUUCGGGUUGUAAACCGCUUUUGUUCGGGAAGAAAUCCUCUGGGCUAAUACCCCGGGGGAUGACGGUACCGGAAGAAUAAGCACCGGCUAACUACGUG
rnacentral:rRNA from 1 species